UACGUAGGUGGCUAGCGUUGUCCGGAUUUACUGGGCGUAAAGAGCGCGCAGGCGGUUUCUUAAGUCAGAUGUGAAAUCCCCGGGCUUAACCUGGGAACUGCGUUUGAAACUGGGAGACUUGAGUGUGGCAGAGGGGGGUGGAAUUCCACGUGUAGCAGUGAAAUGCGUAGAUAUGUGGAGGAACACCAAUGGCGAAGGCAGCCCCCUGGGUCAACACUGACGCUCAUGCACGAAAGCGUGGGGAGCAAACAGG
rnacentral:rRNA from 1 species